GAUGAACGCUGGCGGCGUGCUUAACACAUGCAAGUCGAGCGAGUGAGUUCUUCGGAACGAUCUAGCGGCGGACGGGUGAGUAACGCGUGGGCAACCUGCCUCAUAGAGGGGAAUAGCCUCCCGAAAGGGAGAUUAAUACCGCAUAAAAUUAUCGAGUGGCAUCACAUGAUAAUCAAAGGAGUAAUCCGCUAUGAGAUGGGCCCGCGGCGCAUUAGCUAGUUGGUGAGGUAACGGCUCACCAAGGCGACGAUGCGUAGCCGACCUGAGAGGGUGAUCGGCCACAUUGGGACUGAGACACGGCCCAGACUCCUACGGGAGGCAGCAGUGGGGAAUAUUGCACAAUGGGGGAAACCCUGACGCAGCAACGCCGCGUGAGUGAUGAAGGUCUUCGGAUUGUAAAGCUCUGUCUUUGGGGACGAUAAUGACGGUACCCGAGGAGGAAGCCACGGCUAACUACGUGCCAGCAGCCGCCGUAA
rnacentral:rRNA from 1 species